rnacentral:lncRNA from 1 species
CUUGCCCCACCCUAGCUCUGAGCAGAGUUCAGUGGAAGCAGAGUCCUUGGGCCUCCAAGAACACAUACAGUUAAUUCAACACUGCAGCUUUCCGGGGCCUUGGAAUAAAGAAGGCGAGCAAGGGCACCACCCAGAGCCACAGCAAUCCAAGAUGCAAAGAGACCCUUCCCCCACCUCCGCCCGCCCUCUCCGCCUCCCUGGUCCCCUUGCCUGGGUGGGGACUGGGGCCAGCACUUGGAGGCCCCCAGCCUGGUACAUUAAUCCCAUCUUCCCCAGUGCCGUCCCUCGGCCACCAGGGAAUUUGAGAGUUGAGAUCCUUGAAUAUUUCAUCAGCACUUCAGCCUCCAGUUGAAGAGGC